CAGCAGCAGCCGCGGUAAUACGGAGGGUGCAAGCGUUAUCCGGAUUUAUUGGGUUUAAAGGGUCCGUAGGCGGACUUAUAAGUCAGUGGUGAAAGCCUGUCGCUUAACGAUAGAACUGCCAUUGAUACUGUAAGUCUUGAGUAUAUUUGAGGUAGCUGGAAUAAGUAGUGUAGCGGUGAAAUGCAUAGAUAUUACUUAGAACACCAAUUGCUAAGGCAGGUUACCAAGAUAUAACUGACGCUGAGGGACGAAAGCGUGGGUAGCGAACAGGAUUAGAUACCCCUGUAGUCCCUGUCUCUUAUAC
rnacentral:rRNA from 1 species